GAAACCGUUUCCCUCGAACCCUUUCCCUCAGUUCGCAAUCUCUCUCUCGAAACCCUUUCCCUCGAACCAUUUAAAACCCCUUUCCUCUCUCUCACUCUCCCAAUCCCAAGCCCGGUCUCUCCCUCUCGCUCACUCUCGCGCUUUGCCUCCUCUCCCCGUCUCUCUCCACCAAUCGAAGAAUCUCCCGAUCUUCAAGAUCUGUCAAUGACAGAGGAUUUGUCCCUUUCCCCCUUUUUUAGGCUGUAGAUAUUGAUGGGGUUGCAAUGGUGAAAAGAGUGGCCGUCACAAGCAUAUGGUUGUCUCUUUUGAAAGAAGAAACAUAACUACAGCAGAGCACAUCAAUAAGCAGGCAAGAUUUCUGCAAUUACUCACCCCCUCAGACAACUCCUUUAUCUCUGUCUCAAACAAAUCAAGAUAUCCCAAGUGCUUCAAUUUCCCUACUGAUGGAGGCAAUUUCUGAAUGCUACUGUAACUCAAGUCCAAUGCCAAAUGAUGAAAUGCAUUGUUUGGCACCCUGGAUAUUGUUGAGUUGCAUAGCAACGUCCGCAACUUGUGUGCCUUAUACAAGGUGGCCCAAAUGGAAGCCACUUGAUCACCAGCUUCAUCACUGUCAAUUAAAAAAGAAUGGCCUACAUUGCUUAGGUUCAGCAAGGCUUGCUCUCUGAUAUCCACCAGUGAACAGUCACUUCCUGUAGGAAAAUAGAAGUAGUUAAAGGAGUCUACUCAAAUUUAUUAUGUAAGGAUAGCGUGUCUAUUUAUAUUUUCCAGUCAAAAUGAUCUAAUUCUGUCCUCGUAGAUUUUGUUGUUUAGGUAAAAAUGAGAUAGGGAGAAGAUAUGAGAUCGGGAAAAAUGAGAUACAGAUUGAAAGUCAGGCAUGCCCAUUUUCCAUUUAACGCAGUUUCCUUCCAUUAUGAAGUUCAGAGAGUUCAGUAUUCAUAUCUUUUUUAUGCAUCCAACAAAUUCUUUCAUUUUUAAUAUUCAAUCCUCGACUAUCAUAUGAAGUUUCCAAAUUUCAGUUUUUACACAUGCAUCCAUGCUAGUUUGAAACAUAUUAAUGGUGGACAUUUAGUCACUACUGUUUCCAUUACACUUUUUACUAUGAAGUUUUAAAAAAAAGAAAAAAAGAAGAAGAAGAAAAAGAAACUCAAAAAAAAAGGAGCCAAUUUUUCAAGUAGACUCGUCAAGUGUUCACAUUGAUCUGACCAAAAAUAGAACCUUCUAACCGGGACAAUAUAGUAUGGUCCACCUCAAUGAUGUUGGCUAUUUCGAACUCAUGUGGGGCACUUAGCUAUCCAAAUUCAAAGCCAAUGAACAUAUGUGGAGGUACAAUGCUCACAAAUGAACGUCCAAACUCACUUAAUGCCAGGUCUCCUAAAAGAUAUGAAGCCAGCUAUACCAUUGAAAAAUAGCUAGUAAUUGGAAAUCUGAAAUUCACAUCCUGUCUUGCCCGACAAAUAGAAGUGACCCUUCAUUUACAUGCAUGCAUUUGGGAGGUUUUAUUGCAAUAUAUCCUUUUGAAAUCAAAGUCUUGCCUUUAUUGGAAAGUUGAUUCAAAGUCAAUGGAGAAAAUAUGGGACCACCUAACAAAGGUGCAAAGGAUGGUGUCUUGUUUUGUUCUUGCUAUAUUACUUGCCACCUUUAUUUGGUUCCUUGGUUGAGGUUUGGUGAUCACACUUGUCUAGACCAUCAAUACAACAGUGAUCUGAUAUCUGAUUAUUAUGUUUGUGUACAUGUACAUGUACACAUCAUAAAUAAAGAGGUCGUAUCCAAUGGACCCCAGGGAGUGGAUUACUCUACAUUACCCGGACCCACAUUUUAUAGAUGGUAUGAUGAACUUUGUGAAGUUCACAAAAGAACACUUUCUUGGUAGAGAAACCAUUCAUUGUCCAUGUAUCAAAUGCAGAUGUCUACGUUUACCCUGCCCAAUUGAAGAUGUGAUAAUAGAUUUGAUUAAAAAUGGAUUUAAUCCAACAUGUAGGGUGUGGAACAUGCAUGGUGAGCAUGCAUCACCCAAGUGUACCAAACGUGCACCAACUUCUCACCACUACCAUAGUGUGGCAAACUUAAACAACAUUGUCAAUGCGGUUGUUGAAGACCUCGGUGCUAAUAACCUGGACAAAGUUAUUCAAAGUGAUGCCCUUACACAUGCAUUCUUGACCUUCAAAUACCCGAGUUAAUUAGUAAAUAUUUAUUCUCUGAUAAAUCGACUUCCAAUUUUGUCUACAAUCGAUUGGGAGUGACGGUAGAGGGUGCAUGCGGGGUAUAGGUGGAAACGUUUGCAUUAAAGAAGACAAUCCCGAUUGUAGGUAAGCUCAACAUGGUGACGCAGGAGCGAGAUAGUUUGACGCAGGAAAUAGGUCAAUUAAAGAAAAGCCUAGAAGAACUCAUUCAGAAGGUUAACUACAUUGUAGAUCGACAAGCAGAACAGGGGGUUGUGGGUCCACUGACAGCACCUUCAUUUAAAUCUAGUCAGGCCUCGUCGCCUGAUUGGACACUUGUGGGCAAGAGAUGCGAUAUUUGCGAUUGGAGGAAACGGGUAAUUGCUCGUGGUGAGGUGCACGCAGUUAAUCCAAGUGCACAUGUCCAUGGAGUAGAGCUGGGCGAAGGAAAUUUAAGUGUUGUCCUGACCGAGAUUAUAGCCGCGCAAGCAGAGUUGUGGAAGGAAGAUGAUUAUCAUCAUACACUUGGAGAUGUCAGUGUAGGAGAAUUUGUUGCUUGGCCUCGGCAAUUUCUAACCAUCUAUCCAUGAUGUUUAUGACUAGACAUUAUCCUUAUUGACAAUAUUUACUUUUGUUUUUAAACUAUACAAUAACAUGGCCACAUAUAUGCAUAUUAUGGAAUGGAAUGGAUUUAACACCCA